rnacentral:rRNA from 1 species
UACGUAGGUGGCAAGCGUUACUCGGAAUCACUAGGCGUAAAGCGCAGGUAGGCGGUUUGGUAAGUCUGUUGUGAAAGCUCCUGGCUUAACUGGGAGAGGUCAACGGAAACUGCCAGGCUCGAGUGUGGUAGAGGUAGCUGGAAUUCCCGGUGUAGCGGUGAAAUGCGCAGAUAUCAGGAGGAACACCGGUGGCGAAGGCGCCACUCUGGGCCGGCACUGACGCUGAGGAGCGAAAGCGUGGGUAGCAAACAGG